CGGUUGACAUCUGCAGGUACGUGUGUCUGCUUCGGUGCUGGCUGGUAGGAAAUUUUGGCACCGACGGCUCGCCACACAACUCAUCCCAGACAGCCGGCCCUCAACCCCGUUUGACAGUCGAGCAGUGGGUGCGUUUACAGCGCUAGCCCGCACGGGUGGCGUACGGGAGCGGUGAAAAUGCCAACGGGAUAUGUGGUGAGCCUUUGCCGUGCGACAGUCAAGACAGUUCAAGAAACGUGCCGAACAGUCGAGAGGUUGUGAUGAUCUCAUAACGGAAGGGCAGCUGUACGUUUGUUGAAAGUGACCUUUUAACUGAAGUGUGUACCUCCUACCCCUCCGGGUGCGUGUGUGUGUCUGUGUUUGUGGUGUGAAAACCCACAGCGAGAGAGAGAGAGAAGGAGCACGAGAGACACUAAGUACCAACCAUUAGAUUUGCCUACAAUACCCCCUCCGCACUACGGUGUGUGUGUGUGCGCGCGCUUGUGUGGUGUGUGGACAAUAUCUGUUUCCGUAAUUCAGCAUUCGUCUCAAUCUCUGUGCAAAAACACAUCCACCAUCAUCAUCACCACCACCGUCCCGUCCGGAAGCACGCGGAAGCAGCAGCCACCAGCGUUUCCGGUGCGAACGAAGUAGGCGCGUGUGCGUUGUGUGUGUGUGCGAGUGCGCUACCCCCGUGUUGCGUGUCGUGUGCGCGGUGUGGGCCUCCGCUGCUCGAAGGACGUAUCGAAGGCGCCGCGGUUUGCAAGAUCAACUAAUUCUUAUCGAUCAGUCGAAGGAAGAGCAUAGAGGGAGAGAGAGUGCACUUGCGUGCUUGUGUGGGGUGAUCACCAAUCAAACACACCUAACAUAGUCCUCGCGACCCCUGCGGCUGAUCGUCAAUCAAACAACACCCAGUACACAACAGCCGGUUCUCGCUCAAUAUCGUCGUUUUUGCGCAACGAUCGACCAACCCUUUGCGCUUGGUUGGUGCAGACGGUGCGGAGUGUGCGGAGAAAGAGCGAGUGAGCGAGAGAGAGAGAGAGAACGAGCGUGCCCUCCGGUGGAAGACGUGCACGUAUCAUCCCCCCCACCCUCCCCAGCAGAGCCGAUAAGAAAGAUCGAGGAUGGCAUUAAAAAGAAUUAAUAAGGAAUUACAAGACUUGGGGAGAGACCCACCAGCACAAUGUUCAGCCGGUCCAGUCGGCGAUGACUUGUUCCACUGGCAGGCAACAAUUAUGGGCCCGCCAGACAGUCCGUACCAGGGAGGCGUAUUCUUCUUAACAAUACAUUUCCCAACAGACUAUCCAUUCAAACCACCGAAAGUGGCUUUUACGACACGCAUAUAUCAUCCAAACAUCAACAGCAACGGGUCGAUCUGUCUGGAUAUCUUAAGAUCUCAAUGGUCUCCCGCCCUGACAAUAUCAAAGGUGUUGCUGUCCAUCUGCUCUCUGUUGUGUGAUCCCAACCCCGACGACCCGCUGGUGCCGGAGAUUGCCAGAAUAUAUAAAACCGACCGGGAAAAAUAUAAUGAACUUGCCCGGGAGUGGACACGAAAGUAUGCUAUGUGAUGCGUUCCAGACGAGACAUUGCUACGUAAACCCUACACCUACACGUACGACAACAACAACAACAACAGCCGCCGCAGCAGCAACAAUAACAGCAGCAGCAGCAGCAAGUGCAGCAGCAGCGACCGCGCGCACCAGUUUACCAUCCACUACAAGCGCCGCAACAGCAGCAACAACAACAACAGCAACAACAACAACGGUAGUAUCAGCCAGUAUGGUUGUAGGAAGCAAAGAAAGCAGAAGAAGCAGCAGCAGCAACAUCAUCAAUUGUCCGGGGACGGUAUCGGUAGCAACAUCAUUAUACGCAGUAGCAGCAGCAGCAGUCAAUGCUUUGCUGUAGUGCGCGGGCAGCAGGAAGUGCAGCAGCAGCAGCAGCAGGGAGAGAAAUUUUCAACACAGCGUUACACCACCAUCACCAUUGAUUGCAAUGGGAGCUGUGACGUCACCCAUUACCACCAUCAUCUGAAGCAACCGCAGCAGCAGCAGCAGCAACAACAACAGCUGUACGUGCUGCUAAAUCCACAACAACAACAACACCCAGAGUGCAGCCUAUUUCCGUACUACUUCUACCACUAUUAUAAUCAUCGCAAUGCAAGGCGAAGCACCGAACACCAGCAGAAGCAGGACGGUGAGGACAGCGCUAAGUUAAUAGACCAACUCCACAACACCAACCAUAGUAACGACAGCAAUAAUACUACUACUACUACUACUACCCCAAUCUACCAUUGCUACAACAUCUGCGUCGUCGACGGUGGCUCAUCGUCGAUCCGAUGCUUCACGCGGAAGGUAGCCGACGAAAGCGAUGAAAAUGAUGAUGAUAAUGGUGACGGCGACAAACAACGUUUUACGGGCAUCGGUGGCCUGCCGCAUCAUCCUGUACCGAUGGUGCCGGUCGGCCGUGUCCGCUGCACUGCUGCGGCGGCAACGUCGGUGCCAGCACUCGCCGCCGCAUCCCAAUCCAUGCUAUUGCCACCAGAACAACAUCAUUCUACGUGCAGCGACGGCAGCAACAGCUACUAACUACUGCUACCGCUACUACUACAGCAACAACAACAACAACAACUACUGCUACUCAACUAUAGAUUAUUAUUUUACACACAUUAAAGGAGUUCCAGUAAUUUAGAGUUCCCCGUACACUAACGUUGAAGAGUUAAAGCUUUCUCAUUUUGUGACGAAUUACGUGUUUGUGCUCGUAUCUCUUCCAACCUACCACAUACAGAUACACAAAUACACAACGUAUGCAUAACGUAUGAUUGGGCAGAAUAAUUCAGGGCAUAUAUUUCAAAACAAAAAUAACUUACGCAACACUUGAUGCCAGCAAUCAUGAAGCAGCAACAUAAGUUGAUAAGCCCGCAGAAUCUAAAUACAAACAGGAACAAAACCGAAGCAUACAGGAGGCCUCCUCUUUGCUUACACUCUUCCGCCUUCCACCCACACAAAAAAAGGGUUGACAGGAAGCGGGUAAAACACAGGUCGCUUUCGCGCAUCGCGCGUGUGUGUGUGUGUGUGCGGUGUCCAGGAUUGACAAACGGAUGAGUUUCGAUUAGCAGAAGAAACAAAUAAUCAAAAUUUGCACGCUCAUGGCGUGGUGUGAUGGCAGCAGCAGGGCGCCGCUUACGAUUGGUUGAACACAAGUUAACCAAAAUUACCACGGAUAUACUGGCCGAAAAACACACACACACACACAUACAUAGUGGAGAGCAGUAGUGUACGAAGAAUGUGGUGCAGGUGGAGCAGAAACUAAACAGAAAACCAAACACACACAUUGCAUCGCAUACUUAUUAUGAUGGAUACGCAGUUCAAACGCAAAAAGCAAAGCAAAGCAAAAAAAACACAAAAGACAAUUGAAAGUACAGAGAAAAAACUGCAAAAGCAAAAUAAUACAAAUCACAUACUAAACAUUUAUUACUCUUUUAGCAAAACAAAAUAAACUAUACUUACCACGACCACCACCCCCCCCACAAGGAUGAGAUGGAUGAGCGUUGUUGGUGGUUGCUUCUACAUUGCUUGGUGCUGGGGUGUGCUGUGUGCGCACCGAGCAGGAGUGUGGAGUACGAGAAAGUUGGGUAGCACUGCUUGUGUGUGUGGAGAUCAUAUGCUUCUGAUGAGAUGUCAUGAUAUGUAUGUUGCAGGGUAGCGAAAACCGCGGCCCACCAUAGUAAACCGAAUACACAACGCUUAACUUAUAAACCGCAUGAACAGGCAACCAGGGCAGAGGUUGGGGCCGCGCAAGCAGUUAGGAGAGGAAGAAGAAGGAUAAAACACAACAAUCCACAUACCAACAGGAUGUGUGAUAGCGAAAGGCAGAUGUGAAGAGAGAGAGAGAGAGAGAGAGAGAGAGAGAGAGAGAGAGAGAAAGAGAGAGAGAAAGAGAGAAAGAUGAGGGUGAAAAAGCUGCGAACAAUGACGAUGCUGCUGCUACGUAGAAAAAAAAAAACAAUGGAAUAAAAAGAAACAAAGCAACAUUAGAUACGGGCACCCACCUCCACCCCAUCUACUACUACUACAUACACAUACACACUCGCGCGCGCAUACACUGUCACCGAGAAAUAGUAAAUGAGAACAAUCACUACUAGUAGAGAGACAGAAAGGAACAAGGCGAGACUAAACGAAGGAAGCUUAAUGUACGCAAACCAUCGCUAGCGGUAAUUGCUGCAUUGCAAACACAGCAAAAACCGACCAGCCCAUCCACUCACCCACCCUUCUUCACCUUUACCGUGGUCAGAGGGGAUGGAAAGAGGAAGCGGCCAGAAUUGGAUGGAAACGCAUUGGUUACGCUAAACAAACUAAGAAACAAUCCACCAAAACAAACAAACAAAAACUACCUUUUCACCGUGUGGAAUGGGGCAGACGAAAGAAACGGGAGGUGCGGAAUCGUUGUGAAAAGCGAUCAAAGACACACCGCGUUCGCGCGAGCCCUUUCGUUCCCUUCGCUCACAGCUGCUAAAAGCUUCUAAUCCGCCCUCCUUUAACAAUAAAACACACCGAACGUCUAACAAAAAAUUGGAUUUGCCAUGGUUGGGCAGGGGAAAGUAGAUAGGAGCUAUGAUAUCUAUUUGUGCACGUGCGCGCCCGCGCGCGUGUGUGUGUGUGUGUGGGGAUGGUAUUUGAUGGUGGUGGGUACCGUGGGGUAAGCUAAGCUAAGCUGCAUUUUCUGUUGUAAGCUCACGUGCGUCGUGUUGUGUUGCGUGUGUAUGUGUAAAGGGCUCAAAAGUGGAACAACAACCAAACACACACACAACAAACAAACAAACAAACAAAGUGAAAACACAAGGAUAUGUGUGGACGGCACGAGAAAAGCGAAAAUGGUGACGACAAAAGGAACAGCGUGUUGUGUGCGCAAGGUGUGAGACAAGAGUGUGACCACAGUUUUGCGGAGGGUGGUGAAGCGCCGAAGAAGAGAAAAACGGAGGAAAAGGGCUCGGAACAAAAAUCAGAAAAAAAUGAUAUGAAUCGUGUUUUUUUUUCUAUAAGUCAAAUUGAAUUUAAAUUAAAAUAAACAGAAAGGAAACCCGAA